rnacentral:lncRNA from 1 species
GUCCGUGUUGAGUUUCAAACUAGCAACUUUUGGGUUACACAUGACCAACCACCUUCCUUAAAUGAUGGCCUUUAUUAACUUUCUGUCUUAUGUAACCAUAGCAAACAUAACAUACUAAUUUGAGUGGCCCGGAUUUUCGUUUACUAUGUUGCGUUUUGUCCAAGAGACCAGCCUGUCAACGGCUAAAUUCUUCCGUCAAGUUUCGACAGACCAAUUUACGUUAGCUUACACGUCGCCCUGAGUGAAACAGGUAAUGUAAAUCAGGAAGCUACUGGUUGGUCACCGCCAUUAAAAAUAUUUUAACCUGGGAUUUAAAAAAGGCAAAUAUCGUGGUUUUGGUAACAACAUUUAUCCAGAAAUAUUUAAGGCACAUCUUUUUGUCGUUUUAUCAGGGGACAUGCGGCUCACUACAAUUUGCGCUGGAGUGCUCCUGGGAAUUGUGAUUUUGUUACGCCUCAACCUGUCAGAAUGUCUGCACAUGAAUGUCCACCCUGACAAAGAUGCCGCUGUGACUGUGUCGUCCUCACUGCUCCUUCCAUUGGAACAGUGUUCCGUGUGCACAGUCCGUGGCGGUGAGAAUGACACCCAGACGGCCUGUCACUCAUCUCUGGCCCUGGUCCCAGAUGAGGACAUCACCUUGCUCUUCAACUGCACUGAACUGCCUCAGAGGGCCUUUGCCAUCCAGAUCCACAGGAAAAUCGGUGAGUCUAGAGAAACGUUGUUGUAUUGGGUUUCCCUUUAGGCUGCCACCUUAAUUCGAUCAAACGAGUCAAAAAGACGUACCCCACAGACA